CUUGAUCGAUCCCAGCCACAGUGGCCGGUCCCGAUCUUGACCGUAGGUCGCCAGCAAGGCCUGCGCCUC
rnacentral:antisense_RNA from 1 species